GGCUAGGCAAGCAUGGCGUUGGUUGUCCAUGUGAAAGUAAGUAGGUUGAGAACUUAGGCAAAUCCGGGUUCUUAAGACUGAGAUACGAGACGAGUCACUACGGUGAUGAAGUUGUUGAUGCCAUACUUCCAGGAAAAUCCUCUAAGCUUCAGUUCAUGCUGAAUCGUACCCCAAACCGACACAGGUGGUCAGGUAGAGAAUACUAAGGCGCUUGAGAGAACUCGGGUGAAGGAACUAGGCAAAAUAGUACCGUAACUUCGGGAGAAGGUACGCUGCUGACGGUGAUAGGACUUGCUCCUUAAGCUGUUGGCAGUCACAGUAACCAGGUGGCUGGGACUGUUUAUUAAAAACACAGCACUGUGCAAAAUCGAAAGAUGACGUAUACGGUGUGACACCUGCCCGGUGCCGGAAGGUUAAUUGAUGGGGUUAUCUUCGGAGAAGCUCUUGAUCGAAGCCCCGGUAAACGGCGGCCGUAACUAUAACGGUCCUAAGGUAGCGAAAUUCCUUGUCGGGUAAGUUCCGACCUGCACGAAUGGUGUAACCAUGGCCACGCUGUCUCCACCCGAGACUCAGUGAAAUUGAAAUCGCAGUGAAGAUGCUGUGUACCCGCGGCUAGACGGAAAGACCCCGUGAACCUUUACUACAGCUUGGCACUGAACAUUGAACCUACAUGUGUAGGAUAGGUGGGAGACUUUGAAGCAGCGACGCUAGUUGUUGUGGAGUCGUCCUUGAAAUACCACCCUUGUAGUUUUGAUGUUCUAACGUAGGCCCCUAAUCGGGGUUGCGGACAGUGCCUGGUGGGUAGUUUGACUGGGGCGGUCUCCUCCCAAAGAGUAACGGAGGAGCACGAAGGUUUGCUAAGUACGGUCGGACAUCGUACGGUUAGUGUAAUGGUAGAAGCAAGCUUAACUGCGAGACGGACAAGUCGAGCAGGUACGAAAGUAGGUCAUAGUGAUCCGGUGGUUCUGAAUGGAAGGGCCAUCGCUCAACGGAUAAAAGGUACUCCGGGGAUAACAGGCUGAUACCGCCCAAGAGUUCAUAUCGACGGCGGUGUUUGGCACCUCGAUGUCGGCUCAUCACAUCCUGGGGCUGAAGUCGGUCCCAAGGGUAUGGCUGUUCGCCAUUUAAAGUGGUACGCGAGCUGGGUUUAGAACGUCGUGAGACAGUUCGGUCCCUAUCUGCCGUGGGCGUUUGAGAAUUGAGAGGGGCUGCUCCUAGUACGAGAGGACCGGAGUGGACGAACCGCUGGUGUUCGGGUUGUGAUGCCAAUCGCAUUGCCCGGUAGCUACGUUCGGAAUCGAUAAGCGCUGAAAGCAUCUAAGCGCGAAGCGAGCCUCGAGAUGAGUUCUCACUUGGAGUUUAACUCCACURAAGGGCCGUUGGAGACUACAACGUUGAUAGGUAGGGUGUGGAAGCGCUGUGAGGCGUUAAGCUAACCUAUACUAAUUACCCGUGAGGCUUAACCAU
rnacentral:ncRNA from 1 species